rnacentral:rRNA from 1 species
UGUGACUGCGUACCUUUUGUAUAAUGGGUCAGCGACUUAUAUUCUGUAGCAAGGUUAACCGAAUAGGGGAGCCGGAGGGAAACCGAGUCUUAAUUGGGCGUUAAGUUGCAGGGUAUAGACCCGAAACCCGGUGAUCUAGCCAUGGGCAGGUUGAAGGUUGGGUAACACUAACUGGAGGACCGAACCGACUAAUGUUGAAAAAUUAGCGGAUGACCUGUGGCUGGGGGUGAAAGGCCAAUCAAACCGGGAGAUAGCUGGUUCUCCCCGAAAGCUAUUUAGGUAGCGCCUCGUGAAUUCAUCUCCGGGGGUAGAGCACUGUUUCGGCUAGGGGGCCAUCCCGGCUUACCAACCCGAUGCAAACUGCGAAUACCGGAGAAUGUUAUCACGGGAGACACACGGCGGGUGCUAACGUCCGUCGUGAAGAGGGAAACAACCCAGACCGCCAGCUAAGGUCCCAAAGUCAUGGUUAAGUGGGAAACGAUGUGGGAAGGCCCAGACAGCCAGGAUGUUGGCUUAGAAGCAGCCAUCAUUUAAAGAAAGCGUAAUAGCUCACUGGUCGAGUCGGCCUGCGCGGAAGAUGUAACGGGGCUAAACCAUGCACCGAAGCUGCGGCAGCGACACUCAGGUGUUGUUGGGUAGGGGAGCGUUCUGUAAGCCUGCGAAGGUGGCC